rnacentral:rRNA from 1 species
GCAAGUCGAACGAACCGUUUACGGUGAGUGGCGCACGGGUGCGUAACACGUGGGAACAUACCCUUUGGUACGGAAUAACGUUUGGAAACGAACGCUAAUACCGUAUAAUGACUUCGGUCCAAAGAUUUAUCGCCAAAGGAUUGGCCCGCGCUUGAUUAGCUAGUUGGUGAGGUAACGGCUCACCAAGGCGAUGAUCAAUAGCUGGUCUGAGAGGAUGAUC